GCCGAUGUAGCUCAACUGGCAGAGCAACUGAUUUGUAAUCAGUAGGUUGGUGGUUCAAUUCCACUCGUCGGCU
rnacentral:tRNA from 4 species